AUACGUAGGGGGCUAGCGUUAUCCGGAUUUACUGGGCGUAAAGGGUGCGUAGGUGGUCUCUUAAGUCAGGAGUGAAAGGCUACGGCUUAACCGUAGUAAGCCUUUGAAACUGGGAAACUUGAGUGCAGGAGAGGAGAGUGGAAUUCCUAGUGUAGCGGUGAAAUGCGUAGAGAUUAGGAAGAACACCAGUGGCGAAGGCGCUUCUCUGGACUGUAACUGACGCUGAGGCUCGAAAGCGUGGGGAGC
rnacentral:rRNA from 1 species